rnacentral:rRNA from 1 species
CUUUCUUUGCUGGCGACCGGCGCACGGGUGAGUAACACGUAUCCAACCUGCCCUUUACUCGGGGAUAGCCUUUCGAAAGAAAGAUUAAUACCCGAUAGUAUAAUGAUUCCGCAUGGUUUCAUUAUUAAAGGAUUCCGGUAAAGGAUGGGGAUGCGUUCCAUUAGGUUGUUGGUGAGGUAACGGCUCACCAAGCCUUCGAUGGAUAGGGGUUCUGAGAGGAAGGUCCCCCACAUUGGAACUGAGGCACGGUCCAA